rnacentral:misc_RNA from 1 species
CCCUCAAACCUCGCGUUUGGUGUUGGGCCCAAGCUGCUGCGACGCGGCUGGCCUCAAAGACAAUGACGGCGUCCGCGGGACCCUCGGUGCAACGAGCUUUUCGGAGCACGCGUCGAGUUUCAAGGUCCCCCCGGGCCGGUCUAACCCCCCUUCUUCUUAAGGUUGACCUCGGAUCAGGUAGGAAUACCCGCUGAACUUAA